GGGGGGGGGGGGGGGGGGGGCGGGGGCGGGGGGGUGGGGCGGCAGGAGAGGAAGAGGGUGCUCUUAGGGGGGGCGAGUGGCGGAGGGGUGGGGAAUCCAUCGGAAUCUACUUUUUCGUGGGGGAUGACGUCGGGCAACUUCGGCUAAUACCGCAUACGACCUACGGGUGAAAGCAGGGGAUCUUCGGACCUUGCGCGAUUGAAUGAGCCGAUGUCGGAGUAGCUAGUUGGCGGGGUAAAGGCCCACCAAGGCGACGAUCCGUAGCUGGUCUGAGAGGAUGAUCAGCCACACUGGAACUGAGACACGGUCCAGACUCCUACGGGAGGCAGCAGUGGGGAAUAUUGGACAAUGGGCGCAAGCCUGAUCCAGCCAUACCGCGUGAGUGAAGAAGGCCUUCGGGUUGUAAAGCCCUUUUGUUGGGAAAGAAAAGCAGCAGGUUAAUACCCCGCUGUUCUGACGGUACCCAAAGAAUAAGCACCGGCUAACUUCGUG
rnacentral:rRNA from 1 species